rnacentral:lncRNA from 1 species
AAUAGUUGUGAUUUUAAAAUCACAUCUUUAGUUUCCCUUUAAGUCAAAAUCAUGAACGAUUUAUUUGUGUAUAACAUAUCUUAAGAUGUCUUAUUUGUGAUAAUUUCUUUAAUCUCAGAAUACUUGAUUUAGGAUUGUUACUGUUUGUGAAACAAAAACCAUGAUGAUAAGAUUAAUCUCAUAGUAGAAGUCACGUCUAUGAUUAUUUAUAUCCUUGGUUAAUAUGAGUAAUAUUUUAAGGAAUCAUGUUAUGUGCCCUUUGGCUCAAACGCUAGAUGAAUGAACCUGGCCUGCUAAAUCUAUGUUUAAGCCUUACACGUAAAGUUGUUUAAAAGUAUUCUAUAUUUUCUGUUGCAUUGAGGAACACUGUAGAACCAAGGUAAGAUUCUGCUAUGACUAAUAAACUAAGAAAUUCCUUUGAUUCAUCUACACAUGAUACAAUUUGUUCAUUGUUAUUUACGCUACUUUUGUUGGAGUUACUAAUGCUAUUUUGUUUUUGUUUUUGUUUUUCUUUCCUUUACUGAGCCGAAAGUCGAUUGGAAACAGACUCUCUGCCCUUUCUGAUAGGGGUAAGGCCGGUAUACAUAUUACCCUCACCAAACAUCACUUUGUGGGACUAUAUUGGAUAGUUAUUGUUGUUGUUGUUACGAUGUCACAUCCGUUCGUAUAUAUUUUAGAAAUAAUACUAGCUUUAAAAAAGUCUGCUUGACUAAGCGUGUCUGAUAUUAACUGAAAAUAUUGCAACUCAUUGUUUGGUUUCACUUUAAGGCCAACAUGAUUUUACUUAGUUUAUUUCAUUCAAUAGGAAGCAAGAUUAAUGCUGCUGUCUAGAACCAGUGUUUGCAUUAUCAUCACUCAGCUCUCUCUUCGAACAGCAAAACAAUGAAUUUUUGAG